GACAGCAGGAGCGGUAAUGAUACUCUAAAUGAUCAGCUAUGAAAAGCCAACUGACAUUUACUCCUGAGGUGCUGAACUGUUGCACCUUCUACAACCCCUCUAAGUCCCCUCCUGUUCCCUGUUUAAGAGGUGAUGACAGCUCCACUCCAUUACCAUUGUCAACUCUCUCCUGACAUGAAAUGAAGCCACGUCUCAUGUGCCCUCUCAUCCACAGGCACAUUGAAUGUUUCCUCUCCAAGCACUUCAAAUCCUGUCCUGUUAUCAAUGGAAGAGUUGAGCUCUUCUCGAACACCAUCCAUCCAUGAUGAGCCUGUCCUGCACUGAAGCCUACGAACACCUCAACCCCUGCCGUGUACUGAAGUCAAGCCUCUGAACACCUCAACUCAUACCUCACACCCUCAUUCAAUCACUACUGUGAUCCCUUCCCAACACCUGACCCAUCUGAACAAUCGGGAGAGAAGGGCCUUAGUCAGGGAGGUGAACAAGAACCUGAUG